rnacentral:rRNA from 1 species
AUGAACGCUAGCUACAGGCUUAACACAUGCAAGUCGAGGGGCAGCAUUUUAGUUUGCUUGCAAACUGAAGAUGGCGACCGGCGCACGGGUGAGUAACACGUAUCCAACCUGCCGAUAACUCCGGGAUAGCCUUUCGAAAGAAAGAUUAAUACCGGAUGGCAUACGAAUAUCGCAUGAUAUUUUUAUUAAAGAAUUUCGGUUAUCGAUGGGGAUGCGUUCCAUUAGUUUGUUGGCGGGGUAACGGCCCACCAAGACUACGAUGGAUAGGGGUUCUGAGAGGAAGGUCCCCCACAUUGGAACUGAGACACGGUCCAAACUCCUACGGGAGGCAGCAGUGAGGAAUAUUGGUCAAUGGGCGCGAGCCUGAACCAGCCAAGUAGCGUGAAGGAUGAAGGCUCUAUGGGUCGUAAACUUCUUUUAUAUGGGAAUAAAGUUUUCCACGUGUGGAAUUUUGUAUGUACCAUAUGAAUAAGGAUCGGCUAACUCCGUGCCAGCAGCCGCGGUAAUACGGAGGAUCCGAGCGUUAUCCGGAUUUAUUGGGUUUAAAGGGAGCGUAGGUGGAUUGUUAAGUCAGUUGUGAAAGUUUGCGGCUCAACCGUAAAAUUGCAGUUGAAACUGGCAGUCUUGAGUACAGUAGAGGUGGGCGGAAUUCGUGGUGUAGCGGUGAAAUGCUUAGAUAUCACGAAGAACUCCGAUUGCGAAGGCAGCUCACUAGACUGUUACUGACACUGAUGCUCGAAAGUGUGGGUAUCAAACAGGAUUAGAUACCCUGGUAGUCCACACAGUAAACGAUGAAUACUCGCUGUUUGCGUUAUACAGUAAGCGGCCAAGCGUAAGCAUUAAGUAUUCCACCUGGGGAGUACGCCGGCAACGGUGAAACUCAAAGGAAUUGACGGGGGCCCGCACAAGCAGUGGAGUAUGUGGUUUAAUUCGACGCAACGCGAAGAACCUUACCAGGUCUUGACAUCCCGAUGACCGGCCCGUAACGGGGCCUUCUCUUCGGAGCAUUGGAGACAGGUGGUGCAUGGUUGUCGUCAGCUCGUGUCGUGAGAUGUUGGGUUAAGUCCCGCAACGAGCGCAACCCUUAUCUUCAGUUACUAACGCGUAAAGGUGAGGACUCUGAAGAGACUGCCGGGGACAACUCGGAGGAAGGUGGGGACGACGUCAAAUCAUCAUGCCCCUUAUGACCUGGGCUACACACGUGCUACAAUGGCGCAUACAAAGAGAAGCGACCUCGCGAGAGCAAGCGGACCUCAUAAAGUGCGUCGUAGUCCGGAUUGGAGUCUGCAACUCGACUCCAUGAAGUCGGAAUCGCUAGUAAUCGUGGAUCAGAAUGCCACGGUGAAUACGUUCCCGGGCCUUGUACACACCGCCCGUCACACCAUGAGAGCCGGGGGGACCCGAAGUCGGUAGUCUAACCGCAAGGAGGACGCCGCCGAAGGUGGGGUUGAUGAUUAGGGUU